rnacentral:rRNA from 1 species
CAGCCGCCGCGGUAAUACGUAGGGUGCGAGCGUUAAUCGUAAUUACUGGGCGUAAAGCGUGCGCAGGCGGUUGUGUAAGACAAGCGUGAAAUCCCCGGGCUCAACCUGGGAAUGGCGCUUGUGACUGCAAAGCUAGAGUGCGGCAGAGGGGGAUGGAAUUCCGCGUGUAGCAGUGAAAUGCGUAGAUAUGCGGAGGAACACCGAUGGCGAAGGCAAUCCCCUGGGCCUGCACUGACGCUCAUGCACGAAAGCGUGGGGAGCAAACAGGAUUAGAUACCCGCGUAGUCCCUGUCUCUUAUAC